UGGGGAAUAUUGGACAAUGGGCGAAAGCCUGAUCCAGCAAUACCGCGUGUGUGAAGAAGGCCUUCGGGUUGUAAAGCACUUUCAAUUGGGAGGAAAACAUACCGGUCAAUACCCGGUAGCUUGACAUUACCUUUAGAAGAAGCACCGGCUAACUCCGUGCCAGCAGCCGCGGUAAUACGGAGGGUGCAAGCGUUAAUCGGAAUUACUGGGCGUAAAGCGUGCGUAGGUGGUUCGUUAAGUCAGAUGUGAAAGCCCUGGGCUCAACCUGGGAACUGCAUUUGAAACUGGCGGACUAGAGUUUAGUAGAGGGGAGUGGAAUUUCAGGUGUAGCGGUGAAAUGCGUAGAUAUCUGAAGGAACACCAGUGGCGAAGGCGACUCCCUGGACUAAAACUGACGCUGAGGUACGAAAGCGUGGGUAGCAAA
rnacentral:rRNA from 1 species